rnacentral:rRNA from 1 species
CAGUCGCCACGGUAAUACAGAGGGUGCGAGCGUUAAUCGGAUUUACUGGGCGUAAAGCGUGCGUAGGCGGCUUCUUAAGUCGGAUGCGAAAUCCCUGAGCUUAACUUAGGAAUUGCAUUCGAUACUGGGAAGCUAGAGUAUGGGAGAGGAUGGUAGAAUUCCAGGUGUAGCGGUGAAAUGCGUAGAGAUCUGGAGGAAUACCGAUGGCGAAGGCAGCCAUCUGGCCUAAUACUGACGCUGAGGUACGAAAGCAUGGGGAGCAAACAGGAUUAGAGACCCCUGUAGUCCCUGUCUCUUAUAU